GUGGCCCUCACGGGCGCAACCCCAGAUA
rnacentral:rRNA from 1 species